GAUGAACGCUGGCGGCGUGCUUAACACAUGCCAGUCGAACGAUGAAGCCCAGCUUGCUGGGUGGAUUAGUGGCGAACGGGUGAGUAACACGUGAGUAACCUGCCCUUGACUCUGGGAUAAGCCUGGGAAACUGGGUCUAAUACUGGAUAUGACUUCUCAUCGCAUGGUGGGGGGUGGAAAGAUUUAUUGGUCUUGGAUGGACUCGCGGCCUAUCAGCUUGUUGGUGAGGUAAUGGCUCACCAAGGCGACGACGGGUAGCCGGCCUGAGAGGGUGACCGGCCACACUGGGACUGAGACACGGCCCAGACUCCUACGGGAGGCAGCAGUGGGGAAUAUUGCACAAUGGGCGCAAGCCUGGUGCAGCGACGCCGCGUGAGGGAUGACGGCCUUCGGGUUGUAAACCUCUUUCAGUAGGGAAGAAGCGAGAGUGACGGUACCUGCAGAAGAAGCGCCGGCUAACUACGUG
rnacentral:rRNA from 1 species